rnacentral:rRNA from 1 species
UGGGGAAUAUUGGGCAAUGGAGGCAACUCUGACCCAGCAACGCCGCGUGAAUGAUGAAGGUCUUCGGAUUGUAAAGUUCUGUGAUGGGGAACGAAGAAAGUGACGGUACCCCAAGAGCAAGCCACGGCUAACUACGUGCCAGCAGCCGCGGUAAUACGUAGGUGGCAAGCGUUGUCCGGAAUGACUGGGCGUAAAGGGUGCGUAGGUGGUUGGUCAAGUUAGUAGUGAAAUUCCGGAGCUUAACUUCGGCGCUACUACUAAGACUGAUUGACUUGAGUGCAGGAGAGGUAAGCGGAAUUCCUAGUGUAGCGGUGGAAUGCGUAGAUAUUAGGAGGAACACCAGUGGCGAAAGCGGCUUGCUGGCCUGUAACUGACACUGAAGCACGAAAGCGUGGGGAGCAAACAGG